rnacentral:sRNA from 12 species
CAUAGCCGGACAAAGUAACCCUUUGGGUGAAAUCAGCGCACAAGCAGAAGGAGCGCAAGACCUACCCUCUAUGGGGGAAUCAGGCCCCCGAUGUUAUGAGCCGGACGCUUCUUGCAUGGGCGGCUAAUGUGCGAUAACCGCUUUCAUGGCUACUAACUAUGCAGCUACAACCGCACCCUACAAUCUGCUGUACGGGAGGCCAACAUGACAAGUAACGAAC